rnacentral:misc_RNA from 1 species
GAUGAAGAACGCAGCGAAAUGCGAUACGUAAUGUGAAUUGCAGAAUUCAGUGAAUCAUCGAAUCUUUGAACGCACAUUGCGCCCGCCAGUAUUCUGGCGGGCAUGCCUGUUCGAGCGUCAUUUCAACCAUCAAGCCCCAGGCUUGUGUUGGAGCCCUGCGGCCGUCCGCAGCCUCCUAAAAUCAGUGGCGGGCUCGCUAUCACACCGAGUGCAGUAGUUUUCUCUUCGCUCUGGCCGUGUAGCGAGUUCUGGCCGUGAAACCCCCCCACAUUCUAAGGUUGACCUCGGAUCAGGUAGGAAUACCCGCUGAACUUAAGCAUAUCAAUAAGCGGAGGA